CUAGAUUGAUGGCGAGUGGCGAACGGGUGAGUAAUACAUCGGAACGUGCCCUGUAGUGGGGGAUAACUAGUCGAAAGAUUAGCUAAUACCGCAUACGACCUGAGGGUGAAAGUGGGGGACCGCAAGGCCUCAUGCUAUAGGAGCGGCCGAUGUCUGAUUAGCUAGUUGGUGGGGUAAAGGCCCACCAAGGCGACGAUCAGUAGCUGGUCUGAGAGGACGAUCAGCCACACUGGGACUGAGACACGGCCCAGACUCCUACGGGAGGCAGCAGUGGGGAAUUUUGGACAAUGGGCGAAAGCCUGAUCCAGCAAUGCCGCGUGUGUGAAGAAGGCCUUCGGGUUGUAAAGCACUUUUGUCCGGAAAGAAAUGGCUCUGGUUAAUACCUGGGGUCGAUGACGGUACCGGAAGAAUAAGGACCGGCUAACUACGUGCCAGCAGCCGCGGUAAUACGUAGGGUCCAAGCGUUAAUCGGAAUUACUGGGCGUAAAGCGUGCGCAGGCGGUUGUGCAAGACCGAUGUGAAAUCCCCGAGCUUAACUUGGGAAUUGCAUUGGUGACUGCACGGCUAGAGUGUGUCAGAGGGGGGUAGAAUUCCACGUGUAGCAGUGAAAUGCGUAGAGAUGUGGAGGAAUACCGAUGGCGAAGGCAGCCCCCUGGGAUAACACUGACGCUCAUGCACGAAAGCGUGGGGAGCAAACAGGAUUAGAUACCCUGGUAGUCCACGCCCUAAACGAUGUCAACUAGUUGUUGGGGAUUCAUUUCCUUAGUAACGUAGCUAACGCGUGAAGUUGACCGCCUGGGGAGUACGGUCGCAAGAUUAAAAACUCAAAGGAAAUUGACGGGGACCCGCACAAGCGGUGGAUGAUGUGGAAUUAAUUUCGAUGGCAACGCGAAAAACCUUACCUACCCUUGGACAUGCCACUAAACGAAGGCAGAGAAUGCAAUUAAGGUGCCUCGGAUAUGAGAAAGUGA
rnacentral:rRNA from 1 species